UCUUGCCAUCUCCUGUUUGACCACUUUCAAUUUGCCUUGAUUCGUGGACCUACCAUUCCAGGUUCCUAUGCAAUAUUGCUCUUUACAGCAUCGGACUUUACUUCCAUCACCAGUCACAUCCCCAACUGGGUGUUGUGUUUGCUCUGUCUGUGUGUGUGUGUGUGUAUGUUAGAAGAAAACAACAA